rnacentral:rRNA from 1 species
UAUCCUGGCUCAGGAUGAACGCUGGCGGCGUGCUUAACACAUGCAAGUCGAACGGGGCCACCAUUUUUGAAGCGAUUAGCUUGCUAAGAGUGGAAAUGUUGGCGGCUUAGUGGCGGACGGGUGAGUAACGCGUGGGUAACCUGCCAUAUACAGGGGGAUAACACUUAGAAAUAGGUGCUAAUACCGCAUAAGCGCACGGAGCUGCAUGGCUCAGUGUGAAAAACUCCGGUGGUAUAUGAUGGACCCGCGUCUGAUUAGCUUGUUGGCGGGGUAACGGCCCACCAAGGCGACGAUCAGUAGCCGGCCUGAGAGGGUGGACGGCCACAUUGGGACUGAGACACGGCCCGAACUCCUACGGGAGGCAGCAGUGGGGAAUAUUGGACAAUGGGGGGAACCCUGAUCCAGCGACGCCGCGUGAGUGAAGAAGUAUCUCGGUAUGUAAAGCUCUAUCAGCAGGGAAGAAAGAAAUGACGGUACCUGACCAAGAAGCCCCGGCUAACUACGUG